AGGGGGUGUACCGGGUGGGUGUUGGGAUAGAUCGCAGUGUUACUUGGUGCAUACUAAGGAAGAGGCGCCUCUGGUGUUGGGCAAACAGGUUUGUAGGCUUAUUUAGUUUAUUUUUAAAUGAAUGCACCCCCCGCAACAAGAGCCUCCCUCUAACCUGGCGUGUUUUAGUUUCGUUUUUUAAAACAAGGAUGGCUAAGAUGCACUUAAAAGAAGAAGAAAAUUACAGGAAAGGAGCUUUUUCCAGACCGAGGGCCGCAUUCCCUCAUUUUGGCGGGGGCGGGCCAGGACAAUGGUGGGUGUGGCUAGGGGCAAAAGGGGGUGGAGUGUUGGAGGUGACUGCAUUUAAGCAAAGCAAAGUUCUCUACGCACAGACCUCUCCAUCGUCCAUUCUCCAUCCAGGCGAGAAAGAGACAUAAGCACCUUUUAGCGACAAAUCCCAGUCGGGCAAAGCGCCAGAGGAGGGUAUGAAGCAUGGCUGGUGGGGGCGUGGCCUACAGAAAUGGGGCGUGGCCUAAGGAGCAUCUGGGAGGCUGUACUGUGCAGUGGUACCUCGGAUUACAUACGCUUCAGGUUACAGACUCCGCUAACCCAGAAAUAGUACCUCGAGUUAAGAACUUUGCUUCAGGAUGAGAACAGAAAUUGUGUUCCGGCGGCAGCAGGAGGCCCCAUUAGCUAAAGUGGUGCUUCAGGUUAAGAACGGUUUCAGGUUAAGAACAGACCUCCGGAACAAAUUAAGCACUUAACCCAAGGUACCACUGUACUAGGCCCCUGGGCUUUAAGUUCCCCAUCUGUCCUCUAUCACCCAGGGUUGCCAUAUUUCAGAAAGGGCCCAGGGCCACCCACUGAGCUUCACAACUUUCCUGAUCCUACUCCGAUCCUUUAUAACUGCUGUUCUUCUAAUUCCUGAAAAGGAGUUGGUUCUGAUAUCUCCCUUCUCGGGGCUAGGGUGGAAAUGGCCCCAGUUAAUAUUUAAAACUGUUGAGGAGGAAGGCGAAGGCGGGUAAGCUGUCAAGUUCGAUUUGGAUCUCAAAACCACCUACAGAUCUUGCAAAAUGUGGAUUAGAAGGGAAUGGGGAGUGGAAAGGCUGCCUGCUGUGCCAGAGAUCAUAGAGUGUAGCCUAGAAAAGGGAAUGCUAGAAUAUAAAACUCUAUAUUCUGAGCGACUGAACGAUAGGCACAGGUCUUGCUACCGCUAUACAAAAAUUCACUUAUCCAAAUCAGUACCCAAACACACUGCAGGUUCAGAUAUCCAAACAGCCAGACCUGCAUAUAUACUGUCUUAUUUUUUUGUGUUUUGCUGGUCCAUGGCAGCCAUUUCACCAGAAACCACGGCAGGAUGGAGCAAGGGGGAGAGAUCGGACAAAUAAGAUCGCACUUUCCCCAUCUUUCCUGGCUUUUUGCAAGAUUUCAGUAGGCUUUCCAGGGUUUUUCUGCCAUCUUAGCGUCAAAAUUUAAGCCUCUGCCAAUCAAACACCACUAAUGACAAGGGCUGAGAACCAUGAACAUGGGCUUCUUAAUUAUGGGUAGGCAAACUAAGGCCCAGGGGCCAGAUCUGGCCCAAUCGCCUUCUAAAUCCAGCCCAUGGAUGGUCCGGGAAUCAGCUUGUUUUUACAUGAGUAGAACGUGUGCUUUUAUUUAAAAUGCAUCUCUGGGUUAUUUGUGGGGCUGUGAUAGGAAUUUUAUGGUCUUAGAUAUAUGGUAAUGUUCAUAAGCGUACCAACUGAGCACAUACAUAGAUCAGCACAGGAAGACCGACCUGGAAUCAUUUUGAUUCCUAAACUAAGCAAAUGUUUUCUCUGCAAGGUCAAAGUGGGAAACCUCCCAUUGUCUUUUCCUUCACAAAUCUUGUCUUAAGGGCACAUUUAAGAUAUGAAUGGGGUGUGAGCCUGUGACCUGGCCCAGGAACUAAGUAUUUAUCACUACAAAAGACUGGCCAGGCUCCCCAGGCAAUCCAAUCAAGUAACCUGCCAGACAGGAGAUAAACAACCACAGGAGAAAAACAGCAUUCAAAUUUCUGUUUAGACCGCCUUUUCUGUGAUGUAGGUGUGAUGUUUCUGGGGGUGGUCUUGAUCUACAGGGUAGCAAUUUCAAAAGUCUUUAUAAGGCCUUGCGCACCAUUGUUCUGGGUUCCUCCUCUCUCCUGCGGGUGAGGGGAGCACCCUGUUGCAACAGAUCAAUAAAGAUCUGGCUUACUAGCUGCUUUGCUUCUCAGUAUUCUCUGGUUGGCCUCUGUUAUUCUCUCCUACCAAUAGGGAACCUAUACAAGGACUCUAUAUGGGCUCUUGGAUACCCCAUAAGGGGAAAGGGCAAUUUUUUGUUUACAACAGGGCAUAGGAAUUCAUUCAUAUAUAUUUUUCCAAAGUACAGUCCGGCCCCCCACAAGGUCUGAGGGACAGAGGACCGGCCCCCUGCUGAAAAAGUUUGCUGACCCCUGUUCUUAGUCAAUAAAGGUAAAGGGACCCCUGACCAUUAGGACCAGUUGUGGCUGACUCUGGGGUUGCGGCGCUCGUCUCGCUUUAUUGGCCGAGGGAGCCGGCGUACAGCUUCCAGGUCAUGUGGCCAGCAUGACUAAGCCACUUCUGGCGAACCAGAGCAGCGCACGGAAACUCCAUUUACCUUCCCGCCAAAGCAGUACCUAUUUAUCUACUUGCACUUUGACGUGCUUUCGAACUGCUAGGUGGGCAGGAGCUGGGACAGAGCAACGGGAGCUCACCCCGUCACGGGGAUUCGAACCACCAACCUUUUGAUCGGCAAGUCCUAGGCUCUGUGGUUUAACCCACAGCACCACCCACGUCCCUUCUUAGUCAAUAAGGCAACCCAUUUUCAAACCUCUUCUCUGCUCACCUCUUUCAAAGCGUUAUUUGAGGGAUCAAACUCUUGCAAAAGGCCGGCUUUUUAUAAAACGCCACCAUGAGCUCCUGUGUAGUGUAAACACGGCUGGACAACCGUUGUGGGUGUGCCAAUCACGAGAGCCUUGUGUUCCCUCUGCUGAGAAAUUCCUGCUUCGGAAUCUAGAAGUGGCAAGACGGGUCUGGCUGUUCCCCAUCUCUGGACGACACCACUGUGUUUUGAUGCACCGUGCUGAUGCCAGCGAGGCCUGGCACGGGCAAGAGAAAACUGGCAUCACUUAGACUUCAAAACACCUACCUGUUCUAUUCUUUUUGUAAAAUCAUUCCUUUAUGUACCUGACUGUGUUAAUUGCUUCUCACGAGCAUAUCUCACAGCAAUCUCACAGUUGCUAUUAAACUGCAGUUUCAUAUGCAAAAAACCCCAAUUAAAUGCAAUUCCAUUCAUCUUUUUUUAAAAAAAUGUAUAUCAAAUUCUCUGUAUAGAGACAGUUAAAAACAAAUCCAUAUGUGAAGACAGUUCCAUAGAUUAAAUGCAAAUUUUAAUCCAAGGCAGAUACAUUGUACACACUCCAAAUAUUUAAAGCUGCACACACACCCCUCCAAUAAUACUGUAUUUUACCCCUUACAGAGCUACAAAUCCCAACACAAAAAAUAGUUCCCAGUACACUUUGGUGGUGGUGGUGAAAUGUGCUUUAAAUGUGCGGUGUGUGAACAGCCGAAGAAAAUAUAGGUUGGCAGUCAACUAUGUUUUCUUAAUCAAAAACAGACCCACUUCAAAUAAUGACAAUGGCAAAAUUAGACCCAUUGACUUCAAUGAGUCUGACUUUGUUGAGGGGUCAUUCCUUUCUAUGUGCUUACUCUUGAGCAAAGCUUAGCUGAGCACCACCCAUAAUUCUGCCUCCGGGAAUAUUGUUUCCACACAUAGGCAAGUGUAAUCAGUUGAAAUGAAUUUGAUUGGGCUGUAGCUGUCACCUCAUAGGUCCCUGCCCCAAUGAGCUUACAAAUUGCAUUUCGACUAUGCCAGGUGGAGUGAGAGAGAGUGACUAUGGGCAGAGCAGGCAUCCACCUCUGCCAUCCUUUGCCAACUCAGCUGAUUCCUGCCCUGGAUCCACACCCAUGGAGAGAAAAAGUCGUUCCAGUGCUGU